rnacentral:rRNA from 1 species
UUGAUUACGUCCCUGCCCUUUGUACACACCGCCCGUCGCUGCCCGGGACUGAGCCGUUUCGAGAAAAGCGGAGACUGCUGUUUUGAUACCUUUCGGGGUGGAGAUUCUUUGGUGGAAACCGCUUUAAUCGCAGUGGCUUGAACCGGGCAAAAGUCGUAACAAGGUUUCCGUAGGUGAACCUGCGGAAGGAUCAUUA